rnacentral:rRNA from 1 species
UACAGAGGGUGCAAGCGUUGUUCGGAAUUAUUGGGCGUAAAGGGCGCGUAGGCGGCCUGGCAAGUGGAAGGUGAAAUCCCUCGGCUUAACCGAGGAACUGCCCUCCAAACUGCUUGGCUUGAGACCGGGAGAGGUGAGUGGAAUUCCCAGUGUAGCGGUGAAAUGCGUAGAUAUUGGGAGGAACACCAGUGGCGAAGGCGGCUCACUGGACCGGUACUGACGCUGAGGCGCGAAAGCGUGGGGAGCAAACGGG